rnacentral:tRNA from 1 species
GCGCCCGUAGCUCAGCGGAAGAGCAACCGCCUUCUAAGCGGUGGGUCGGGGGUUCAAAUCCCUCCGGGCGCG